AACCGACUAAUGUUGAAAAAUUAGCGGAUGACCUGUGGCUGGGGGUGAAAGGCCAAUCAAACCGGGAGAUAGCUGGUUCUCCCCGAAAGCUAUUUAGGUAGCGCCUCGUGAAUUCAUCUCCGGGGGUAGAGCACUGUUUCGGCUAGGGGGCCAUCCCGGCUUACCAACCCGAUGCAAACUGCGAAUACCGGAGAAUGUUAUCACGGGAGACACACGGCGGGUGCUAACGUCCGUCGUGAAGAGGGAAACAACCCAGACCGCCAGCUAAGGUCCCAAAGUCAUGGUUAAGUGGGAAACGAUGUGGGAAGGCCCAGACAGCCAGGAUGUUGGCUUAGAAGCAGCCAUCAUUUAAAGAAAGCGUAAUAGCUCACUGGUCGAGUCGGCCUGCGCGGAAGAUGUAACGGGGCUAAACCAUGCACCGAAGCUGCGGCAGCGACGCUUAUGCGUUGUUGGGUAGGGGAGCGUUCUGUAAGCCUGUGAAGGUGGCCUGUGAGGGUUGCUGGAGGUAUCAGAAGUGCGAAUGCUGACAUAAGUAACGAUAAAGCGGGUGAAAAGCCCGCUCGCCGGAAGACCAAGGGUUCCUGUCCAACGUUAAUCGGGGCAGGGUGAGUCGACCCCUAAGGCGAGGCCGA
rnacentral:rRNA from 1 species